UGGCAUGGAAGGUAGGUCUAACAUGCAAAUCACCAAGUUGUUAGCGGAUCCACCGUUUUAUCCUAAGUUCCUAAGCCCACCCACAAGAAACACAAACAAACAAAACUGAUAGAAUAUGUCUAAUGCAUUAGCAACAGACAGAAAAACUUAGAAGUUAAAUCUAUGUAACUUGAACAUUUAAGGAAAUGACAUUGUAGGAAAUUGCUAUUCUUGCAGAAAUUUACAUAUGGGUUAUGUUUUAGCGACAAAAUGAUGGAAAUCAAGCAAAAUACAUCGAGAACGAUUGUCUUACGUUUGCUUCUAAAAGACUACAUAACAUACUCCCACCCCAAUCUCUAGAAAAUUCAAAAAGCAGAUAAAUAUUCAAAAUAUAAUCUCUAAAAUUUUAUUAUCCUAUUUCAAAUUCAAAAUUCGAUUACCUUGUUUGAGAAGAAUACUCGAUCAUACUUGUAACG
rnacentral:misc_RNA from 1 species